rnacentral:lncRNA from 1 species
GGGAGAGGGAGAGAGAGUGAGAGAGGGAGACUAUUUCCUGUCCUAUUUGUAUUUCAUUAUCCAUUUUAUUCAAGUCAGUCCUCUCUUCUGGCUCUCUUUUUGUUUGAAUUUUUAAAUUUAAUUUUUAUUCUAAUUUGUUAUAUAUGACAGCAGAAUGCAUUACAAUUUGUAUUAUACAUGUAGAGCACAAUUUUUCAUAUCUCUGGUUUUAUACAAAGUAUAUUCACACCAUUUGUGUCUUCAUACAGGUACUUAGGGUAAUGAUGUCCAUUUCAUUCCACCAUCUUUUCUAUCCCCAUGCCCCCUUCCUUCCUGUCCCACCCCUUUGCCCUAGCUAGAGUUUGUCUAAUCCUCCCAUAUUCCCCCUCCCAAACCCACUAUGAAUCACCUUCCUUAUAUCAGAGAAAACAUUCAGCAAUUGGUUUUUUGGAAUUGGCUAACUUCAAUUGACAUUAUAUUCUUUAACUCCAUCCAUUUAUCUGCAAGUCCCAUGAUUUUAUUCUCUUUUAUUGAUGAGUAAUAUUCCAUUGUGUAUAUAUAACACAUUUUUUAAUCCAUUUAUCUACUUCAGGGCAUCUAGGUUGGUUCCACAAUUUAGCUAUUGUGAAUUGUGUUGCUGUAAACAUUGAUGUGGCUGUGUCCCUGUAGUAUGCCCUGACUUCCUUAAUAAGACUCCUAUAGUGCAAGAAUUAAAAUCAAGAAUCAAUAAAUGGGAUGGAUUCAAACUAAAAAAGCUUCUUCUCAGCAAAAGAAACAAUCAGUGAGGUAAAGAUAGAGCCUACAGAAUGGAAGCAAAUUUUUACCACAAGUACAUCAGAUAGAGCACUAAUCUCUAGGGUACAUAAAGAACUCAAAAAUCGAAACACCAAAAGAACAAAUAACCUAGGAUGUGGGGGAAAAGGCACACUCAUACACUGCUGGUGGAACUGCAAACUGGUGCAGCCAAUAUAGAAAGCAGUAUGGAGAUUCCUUGGAAAACUGGGAAUGGAAUUACCAUUUGACUCAGCUACCCACUCCUCGGUCUAUAUCUUCUGCUCUCUUUAACAUAUAUACCUAAGAAGAAAUAUGUAUUAUCAAUUCUUCAGUUUUUAUUUAUCUUUUGGGAACUCUAAAACAGGACAAAAUCUCAGACUUCCAGACAUACACUACUUCACACCCUAAGCAGACAUCUUGAUUAUAUAAUCACCCAAUAAUAUGAAUAGGCAUAAACAAAUACUAUGAAUAGGCAUACUUCCACUUCUCUAAAUGAUUUUUAUUCACAUGAAUACUGAUUUCACUGGUCAUGUUAUUCUUUCUUAUUUUUCUAACAGCCCAGUGGGCAUACUUCUCUUUGUUCGGUGCCCUAUCUCAGCAAAAAGAGAAUCCAGGUUUCUCUAUAAUUUUUAUCUAGCUAUAUUAAAAAAAAAAUAAAAAGAAAAGCUAGGCAAAUAAACCACAUUUAGUUUAAAUAUAAAAUUGACAUCCCAAAGUUAGGAACUAGGAAAAAUGCUGUCUUGAGAGUUGAAUAUAUGAAAAAUAAAGUUUGGGUCUGAACCACCUAUAUAAACUUGCAUUCCUGGGUCCAAGUCCUAGGAAAAAUAAAGGAGAAACAGAAAUAAAAAGGACUAUAAGGAAAAAAAUUGAUAAGACUAUGUUUGAUGAUAUAUUUUUAGGUUUUUAUAAAACUGAAUGUCCUUCCUAAGAAUAUUAGCCUUGGUAAUAUUUACAUUCUUGCUUCACUGAUCAUGAACAAUGUUAAAUUUUUAUCACUUUAUUUCACACACACACACAUAAUUUAUAGAUGAGGAGAGUUCACAGAAAUCACACAUGUUCAUCUUAGGAAUCCAAUGGUGUUUGUAAUUUCCCUAGUCAUACAGCCAUGAAUAAAAUAGUUGAAAACAAUCCAUGUUCAGUACAGACAUUAAUUUCUCUCUCAAAAUGUGCAUUUCUCCUUAAAUAUAUUUUCUUUCUUUCUAUCUAUCUAUCUACCUAUCUAGUGUGUGUGUAUAUAUACAUAUACACACCAUAUACAUGGCGUGCAUGUGUGUGUUUGUAUGUAUACAUGCGCGUUAUGUAUGUGCAAGUCCAGGGAAAAUUAAUUACUUCUGACUCGUUCUAUUUUUCUAAUUUUUUAAUGUAAUAUUAAAUAAAAUAUUAAAGUAGGUAAAGUUAUAUUGGUAAAGAGGUAUCUAUUGCUAUCACUUCAGCUGCCUAGUAUUUUUAUUCACAUAAGGCACUAUAUUUGAGUCUUUCUCCUUUCCAUCUAAUUGUAUCUUGCUUUUUUCCUAUACACUCAUUGAAAUUACACUUUCUAUCAAUUCUCAUAGAAAUAUGGAACUUUACUUGUACAGAGAAAAUCACUCACCAUAUGUGAAGAUUAAAGGUAUGCAAGAAAUCUUAUAACUGGAAAGGGGAGUAAGAUAUUAAUAUACUGUAUCAACUGUAUAUCAACUGUAUCAGUUACAGUUUAUAUCUACUGAAGCUAGAGCAGACAUUACAAUGAGCCAAUAUUCUCCUUCGUGUGGAGCUCAGAUGCAGCUUCCUAAUCUUUUCCUACAGAGUGCUCCAAGCAGGCAUUACCAAUCUAAAUUGUCACAGUGACAGUCAUGAUUAGACUUGAAGCUAACAUCCAUUCAGCCUGUUGCAUGUAUAAGCUACUGUGCUAAGGAAACUAUAUUUUCCUAUUUACACUUUACCACAUUCCUUUUAGGGCCUGUGACUCUCAGGGCCUAACUCUUAAAUGUACCGUCAGUACCUACUGUUCCAUCUAAGAACAUUCAACUUGUGUACUUACUUCUUUGGCAUGGAUGCCAAUCUUAAUUUUUGAUACAUGGAAAUUUACCUUUCUAACUUCAAGGCUUGUCUCAGCAUUUUUUCCCCUAAAAUUUUAUUUGUGUUUACAGUAAGAGCCCAUCUCACAUUGGUAUACAUUGUAUUUUUUAAAAACCCCUUUGUCAUAAGAAUAUGAUUUUGAGAAAGAAAAUUAUGAUCCUUUGUUUAUUGAAUAUAAUGCAUUGUGCAUUUCUGAACAUAUGAGCAGCUUCAUGAAUUGAUUUUACUCUCCAUGUGCUACUUUGCAUAGCCAAGACACAAGGAAGUUUCCAUCUAGACAAGGAAGUUUUCAUUACUAGAUUCUACACUCCAUUAAGAGUGCCUAUUUUAAUUUCCACUGUAUAAUCAGCACCAAUUAUAAUUCCUGGCAUAUUGUGGCCACUCAAUACAGAUUUGUAUUUAUCAUUG